rnacentral:lncRNA from 1 species
AAACAAUUUAUACAAUUCUAACGAUACAGACAACAUGAUCUAAAGGAGAAAUUUAUUUUGCCUAGUAUUUUUCAGUCAGGAUUCAUUUAUUCCUCAUUUCCUGUUGAUUUUUGAAAGCUAACCUCUCCAGGCAAAGCAUGAUAAAUAAAACCUCAAACCAGGCCUAGAACGGUUAGCUCCAAGGACGCCUAAUGACUCGGAUUGUACAAGUAGCAGUAAGCUGAAAAGGAUAAAAGUAAACAUUGAAGUUUAAGAAAGAAAAUGACCCGCUUGCUUGUAUGGUAGGUUAU